AAAUUAUGCACUUUUUUUGUAAAGAAAAGCAGAAAGCAGAGAAAAAGGAGCUUUUGCAGCGUACACGCAUCAACCAGUGUAGAGGAGCUCAAGAAAAAUAUACAUUUAUGGAGACACGCAGAGAGGAGAGAAACAGAAGGUGAAGAAGCCUUUGGAUCCUCUUCUCUUCUCUUCUCUUCUAUCAAGUUGAGAUUGAUUUGACCAAGUUAAAAAAUUUGACGGAGAAUCAAUGCUGACUGUCUGAUCACAUUGUCUGAUCAGUAUUUUGAUUUUAUUUGAAUUUUUUUUUCAUCUAAAUUAUCGCCGUCAAUGGGAGCCCGCUGCUCCAAAUUCUCCCUCUGUUGGUUCCACUCUCAUCUCAAGUCUUCCGUCCUCGAAUCCACCGAUCUCGAAAGUGGAGGCAAAAAUGACCGAAAUGUAUGGCCGAGUUUCACCGAGUUCAGCUUUGAGCAACUAAAAGUUGCCACGAGUGGUUUCUCUUCGGAUAAUAUUGUGUCGGAGCACGGUGAAAAAGCACCCAACGUCGUUUACAAAGGGAAGCUCGACAAUGACCGAUGGAUUGCUGUUAAGCGAUUUAACAGACUGGCAUGGCCUGAUUCUCGCCAAUUCCUUGAGGAAGCCAGAUCAGUGGGGAGUUUGAGGAGCGAGCGAUUGGCGAAUUUGAUUGGAUGUUGCUGUGAAGGCGAUGAGAGAUUGCUUGUUGCCGAGUUCAUGCCCCAUGAAACGCUUGCAAGGCAUCUGUUUCACUGGGAGAACCAACCUAUGAAAUGGGCAAUGAGGCUGAGGGUAGCUCUUUAUUUGGCGCAAGCCCUGGAAUACUGUAGCAGCAAGGGAAGGGCAUUGUAUCAUGAUCUUAAUGCCUACAGAGUCCUAUUUGAUCAGGAUGGUAAUCCCAGGCUAUCUUGCUUUGGACUAAUGAAGAAUAGCCGAGAUGGAAAAAGUUAUAGCACGAAUUUGGCUUUCACCCCUCCGGAGUACUUGAGAACCGGUAGAGUGACCCCAGAGAGUGUAGUGUACAGCUUUGGAACACUCUUGUUAGAUCUUCUGAGCGGCAAGCAUAUUCCUCCAAGCCAUGCACUUGACCUGAUUCGUGGCAAGAAUUUCCUUAUGUUAAUGGAUUCUGCAUUGGAGGGUCAUUUUUCGAAAGAUGAUGGAACUGAAUUAGUGCGAUUAGCUUCCCGCUGUUUACAAUAUGAAGCUCGUGAGAGGCCAAAUGCAAAGUCGCUUGUUACUUCACUUUUGUCACUUCAGAAAGAAGCAGAGGUAGAUAGAAUAAUAGUGUUAUUGAAUUAACUUUCUAAAGUUGGAAAUGCUUUUUAAGUCGGAUGUUUUGGCUACCCAUUUUUACAAAUGGCAGACUUCCUUUUUGUAAUAUUUGGUCUGCUUCAGCUGAGCUAAAAUAGUUUCUGUAGAAAAAGAGAGAGGCUAUAAUUUCUCAUUAAAUGAAGUUUUAUCAGGUUCCAUCUUACGUAUUGAUGGGUAUCCCACAUGAGGCUGCACCGUCAACUCAGCAAUUGUCAUUAACUCCUUUUGGUGAGGCAUGCUUGAGAAUGGAUCUUACAGCUAUACAUGAAAUCCUGGAGAAGAUUGGAUACAAGGAUGAUGAAGGGAUUGCCAAUGAGGUUUGACCUAAUGACUUAUUUCAUCUGUGUGAAAAAUGUGGACAUAUACCUGAUUUGAUAAAACUGAAAAUUAGUUUAAAACAAAGUCUUGUCGUGCUUUAAUUCAAUCUAGGAAAUAGCACCGGCAGCUGGUAUAUUUGGAUGAAUUGAACUUUCCUAAACCAAGGCAAAAUGGCUCGAAUGAAACAAGGUAGCAUAAGGCUAGACUGAUGCAGCACCUGGCUCUAUUUAGGCAAACAAAAUGCUUGAGUGCAUGCCAUUAUGCCCUCAGUUCCUCACAGUUCUAUUGCAACUGUAAUAGUAUAAUUGAUUAAAGAAAAUGUUUACCAUUGGUUGAAGGAUGUCUGUUGUCAGCUAAUUUUGUAUCUAUAGAUUUUUAACUUUCCCUGGUCCCCCUCCGCAAGAAAAAGAGACCCCGGGGCAUGGGGUUCUGAAUCUUAGAAUUUCAGCCAAUGAACCAGAUUGACAUUAUGUUGCUUUGCUUCAAGGAAUUUUAUUUCUCGUCUUGCAGCUUUCUUUUCAAAUGUGGACCAGUCAAAUGCAGGAGACAUUGAAUUCUAAGAAGCAUGGAGAUACUGCUUUUCGAGCUAAGGAUUUUGCAACUGCCAUUGAAUGCUACACGCAAGUGAGUAUUCCCAUUUCACUUUGACCUAGCAAAUUUUGGGUUUUGCCUUAUAUUUUUUUCGAUAAUCUACAAGCAGCCAAACUUGGUGAUCCAGAAUAAUUGAUCAUCUAAAUUGCCAUUGCAACUGUGGAAAAAUAAGUUUGGAUAGAUGUGGAUUGCAAAUGAUAAAGUAUUUGAAUUUGAUAUCAUGUUGAAUUUAUGAUUUUUCACUUACGAACACAAAUUUAAAUCCUUAUUCAUUUCAAAUGCACAACUAUCC
rnacentral:misc_RNA from 1 species